rnacentral:rRNA from 1 species
GGGUUGUGAGGUUAAGCGACUAAGCGUACACGGUGGAUGCCCCGGCAGUCAGAGGCGAUGAAGGACGUGCUAAUCUGCGAUAAGCGCCGGUAAGGUGAUAUGAACCGUUAUAACCGGCGAUUUCCGAAUGGGGAAACCCAGUGUGACUCGUCACACUAUCAUUAACUGAAUCCAUAGGUUAAUGAGGCGAACCGGGGGAACUGAAACAUCUAAGUACCCCGAGGAAAAGAAAUCAACCGAGAUUCCCCAGUAGCGGCGAGCGAACGGGGAGGAGCCCAGAGCCUGAAUCAGCAUGUGUGUUAGUGGAAGCGUCUGGAAAGGCGCGCGAUACAGGGUGACAGCCCCGUACACAAAAGCGCAUGUGCUGUGAGCUCGAUGAGUAGGGCGGGACACGUGGUAUCCUGUCUGAAUAUGGGGGACCAUCCUCCAAGGCUAAAUACUCCUGACUGACCGAUAGUGAACCAGUACCGUGAGGGAAAGGCGAAAAGAACCCCGGCGAGGGGAGUGAAAAAGAACCUGAAACCGUGUACGUACAAGCAGUGGGAGCACCCUUUGGGGUGUGACUGCGUACCUUUUGUAUAAUGGGUCAGCGACUUAUAUUCUGUAGCAAGGUUAACCGAAUAGGGGAGCCGGAGGGAAACCGAGUCUUAAUUGGGCGUUAAGUUGCAGGGUAUAGACCCGAAACCCGGUGAUCUAGCCAUGGGCAGGUUGAAGGUUGGGUAACACUAACUGGAGGACCGAACCGACUAAUGUUGAAAAAUUAGCGGAUGACCUGUGGCUGGGGGUGAAAGGCCAAUCAAACCGGGAGAUAGCUGGUUCUCCCCGAAAGCUAUUUAGGUAGCGCCUCGUGAAUUCAUCUCCGGGGUAGAGCACUGUUUCGGCUAGGGGGCCAUCCCGGCUUACCAACCCGAUGCAAACUGCGAAUACCGGAGAAUGUUAUCACGGGAGACACACGGCGGGUGCUAACGUCCGUCGUGAAGAGGGAAACAACCCAGACCGCCAGCUAAGGUCCCAAAGUCAUGGUUAAGUGGGAAACGAUGUGGGAAGGCCCAGACAGCCAGGAUGUUGGCUUAGAAGCAGCCAUCAUUUAAAGAAAGCGUAAUAGCUCACUGGUCGAGUCGGCCUGCGCGGAAGAUGUAACGGGGCUAAACCAUGCACCGAAGCUGCGGCAGCGACACUGUGUGUUGUUGGGUAGGGGAGCGUUCUGUAAGCCUGUGAAGGUGGCCUGUGAGGGUUGCUGGAGGUAUCAGAAGUGCGAAUGCUGACAUAAGUAACGAUAAAGCGGGUGAAAAGCCCGCUCGCCGGAAGACCAAGGGUUCCUGUCCAACGUUAAUCGGGGCAGGGUGAGUCGACCCCUAAGGCGAGGCCGAAAGGCGUAGUCGAUGGGAAACGGGUUAAUAUUCCCGUACUUGGUGUUACUGCGAAGGGGGACGGAGAAGGCUAUGUUGGCCGGGCGACGGUUGUCCCGGUUUAAGCGUGUAGGUGUGUGUUCGGGUAAAUCCGGUUCACUUUAACACUGAGGCGUGAUGACGAGGCACUACGGUGCUGAAGCAACAAAUGCCCUGCUUCCGGAAAAGCCUCUAAGCAUCAGGUAACAUCAAAUCGUACCCCAAACCGACACAGGUGGUCAGGUAGAGAAUACCAAGGCGCUUGAGAGAACUCGGGUGAAGGAACUAGGCAAAAUGGUGCCGUAACUUCGGGAGAAGGCACGCUGACACGUAGGUGAAGUGAUUUACUCAUGGAGCUGAAGUCAGUCGAAGAUACCAGCUGGCUGCAACUGUUUAUUAAAAACACAGCACUGUGCAAACACGAAAGUGGACGUAUACGGUGUGACGCCUGCCCGGUGCCGGAAGGUUAAUUGAUGGGGUCAGCGCAAGCGAAGCUCCUGAUCGAAGCCCCGGUAAACGGCGGCCGUAACUAUAACGGUCCUAAGGUAGCGAAAUUCCUUGUCGGGUAAGUUCCGACCUGCACGAAUGGCGUAAUGAUGGCGGGCUGUCUCCACCCGAGACUCAGUGAAAUUGAACUCGCUGUGAAGAUGCAGUGUACCCGCGGCAAGACGGAAAGACCCCGUGAACCUUUACUAUAGCUUGACACUGAACAUUGAGCCUUGAUGUGUAGGAUAGGUGGGAGGCUUUGAAGUGUGGACGCCAGUCUGCAUGGAGCCGACCUUGAAAUACCACCCUUUAAUGUUUGAUGUUCUAACGUGGACCCGUGAUCCGGGUUGCGGACAGUGUCUGGUGGGUAGUUUGACUGGGGCGGUCUCCUCCUAAAGAGUAACGGAGGAGCACGAAGGUUGGCUAAUCUGGUCGGACAUCAGGAGGUUAGUGCAAUGGCAUAAGCCAGCUUGACUGCGAGCGUGACGGCGCGAGCAGGUGCGAAAGCAGGUCAUAGUGAUCCGGUGGUUCUGAAUGGAAGGGCCAUCGCUCAACGGAUAAAAGGUACUCCGGGGAUAACAGGCUGAUACCGCCCAAGAGUUCAUAUCGACGGCGGUGUUUGGCACCUCGAUGUCGGCUCAUCACAUCCUGGGGCUGAAGUAGGUCCCAAGGGUAUGGCUGUUCGCCAUUUAAAGUGGUACGCGAGCUGGGUUUAGAACGUCGUGAGACAGUUCGGUCCCUAUCUGCCGUGGGCGCUGGAGAACUGAGGGGGCUGCUCCUAGUACGAGAGGACCGGAGUGGACGCAUCACUGGUGUUCGGGUUGUCAUGCCAAUGGCACUGCCCGGUAGCUAAAUGCGGAAGAGAUAAGUGCUGAAAGCAUCUAAGCACGAAACUUGCCCCGAGAUGAGUUCUCCCUGAGACUUUAGGUCUCCUGAAGGAACGUUGAAGACGACGACGUUGAUAGGCCGGGUGUGUAAGCGCAGCGAUGCGUUGAGCUAACCGGUACUAAUGAACCGUGAGGCUUAACCUUACAACGCCGAAG